GAGUUGCAGUCUUGUCCACCCGCCGGCCUCACGCGGUCAGUUGUUUGGGGCCCAAAGAGGACUGCGAAGAGCAAGUUAAGGAAGCUAAGGCGUGGCCGCUCGAGCGCCGGCGGCUCCACGUGCGAUGUUCUUUGCACAACACAACAAAUUGCCAUCAUCAUCGUGUGUGGUGACCUGCUUCCACGGCGGUGGCGGAUCUUCCUGUACCGUCAUUCAUCAGUAGCAGGGAGAGCAAUAGCAGCCAGAUAUUGUUUGUGUGGGAGAAGCGACCCCCUCGAGCACUUCGAGCUGCGAUACUC
rnacentral:snoRNA from 1 species